GAUAGGCAAUGCUUGGUUUUUAAAGUAAUAGUUUUUUGUUUCUAAAUAUGAAAAUUCACAAGCAAAAAAGCACAUCUCUCAAUCCUUGAUACACUGCUUCCGCUCUCAAAGUCCAUGCCAUUAUCAACUGCGUUACCUUUAAGACCUGCUUUUUGUGGGUCUUACAUUUUCCCAUUAGCGUGUGGGUCGUAUAUUUUCCAAUUAGCGCUGCAUGAAACUCACUUUUGUGCUUGUUUUUAAGGACACCUCAAAUAUUGCCACCCCUCCCACCUCAGCACAAGCGAGCUGAUGUUAGACAGCGGUAGAACCAAGGAAAGGACUUCCCUCCCAAACCUCGGAGAGCCAACGAAGGGGCAUACUGGUGCCUGAAACGUGUUACAUGGACGCCACCCAGACCCAACAGGAUAGCAGCCAGGGUCAUGAAGGUGCUGUGGUAGUGGAGACUUGUUGCCUGGAUCUCCCUGAUGAUCCAAUGCCUAACCCCCAGAGGCGGGGCCCUUUCCUGGGCCGACUCGGCACCACCACAGAAAAUGUCUCCCCAUCCCUCCCCGGCCUGAAGCUCAGUCCUGCUAACGGCCUGCAGUACCACUUGAAGGGGAUAGCGGAACGCCUCACCAAUAUCCAAUGGUAUAGAGUGGUGUGAAUUACAAAUACCUCAAAAAUGCAAAAACUUCAA